UACAGAGGUCUCAAGCGUUGUUCGGAUUCAUUGGGCUUAAAGGGUGCGUAGGUGGCGGGGUUAGUCAGGUGUGAAAUCUCGGAGCUCAACUCCGAAACUGCACUUGAUACUGCCUUGCUAGAGUACUGGAGAGGAGAGUGGAAUUUACGGUGUAGCAGUGAAAUGCGUAGAUAUCGUAAGGAACACCAGUGGCGAAGGCGACUCUCUGGACAGUUACUGACGCUGAGGCACGAAGGCCAGGGGAGCAAACGGG
rnacentral:rRNA from 1 species